AGACACUCUGUGCAAAGAACAGAGGCAAGCCUCCAGCCAGGAGCUCAUGAAAUCAUGAACUGAGGCCUCAGUGCAAUAGCUCAUGAGGAAAUGAAUUAUUUCAACAGCCAGUUAUGCUUCAAGCCAUACUUAAGAUCGAUGAAUCCUCCUUUAUAAACACAGAUGUAGUAAACACUCAGAGAAAACGAGGUUGAAAAACCAAAUGCUGGGGAGGAGCCAAGAUGGCCGAGUAGGAACAGCUCCGGUCUACAGCUCCCAGCGUGAGCGACGCAGAAGACGGGUGAUUUCUGCAUUUCCAUCUGAGGUACCGGGUUCAUCUCACUAGGGAGCGCCAGACAGUGGGCGCAGUUCUGGAAGUUGGAAGUACAAGAUCAGAUUGCCAGCAUCAUCAGGUACUCAUGAGGGCCGUCUUCCAGCUUGCAGACUGCCAACUUCUCAUUGUGUCC
rnacentral:lncRNA from 1 species